CUACCGGGCAGCGUUAUUGAUUAUUCAGAGGACACACAGGAACAUCCUUCAUGUGUGAUUAAAAGUGUUACAGUGGAAGACACACCUGAAGAGGGACCUGAAUUUUGUUAACAGAUGGAGGGGGAAACUCAUGGUUGCACAAGCUUGGAAUGAAUAUAAACAAGUGGUCAUUUCUGAAUUCCCUGAUUGGAUGGAGUGAAAACAGAACUCAGAAAAAAGAUCAUGUUACCACAUUCGGAGGUUGUUCUGAUACUGAUCACAAAGCAACUGAGCUGAAGGAAUGUACAAACAAAGAAGUGCUGUAUAUUCCCUACAAUUUGGCUACACUGUAUAUCGUCAAGGUAAAAAAACCCUCUACAGUCUGUUACCUAAUGCUUAAAUGCAAAAAUGCAGUCUUCUCCAUUG
rnacentral:lncRNA from 1 species